GCAGACGGAGUCUAGCUCUGUCACCAGGCUGGAGCACAGUGGCAUGAUCUCGACUCACUGCAACCUCCACUGAAGAAGGAAUUCAUGAAUUUUACAAGUAUAAUCAAAGACCACCAAGAAAUUUUUACUUUUUCCUUCAAAAGCUAAGUGUAGUGUAGCACCCCCUGCCCAUAGUCUAAGUUACAGAAGAAUACUAACUGCCUGUUUUUCUUUCUGUGUUGUGAGCCUUAUCUGUUCUCACCAGUUUCACAUUCCUUGAGGCUCAGUGAGUUCCUGCGCACCUCCCUAGCACAGCUGCAAAGUUACAAGGUUGAUAUGCAUAUGUUACAGAAACAUAGUUUCCCAAGGAUGUGGAACAUGUAGUAUAGAUAAAUGUAAAAGACUGAUCAACUGCCUUUGUUCUCGCUUGUGUAAGUAGACUUCAUGAAUCACAUAGCUCCCGGCCACUGACUGCUUAAAAGGUGGCUGCAUUCUUUCUCCAGGGCUCAGACUUUCCUGGACGCUAGUCCUACUGAGCCAGGUGAUCCCCUUAAUAAAGGCUUUCCUGAACUCU
rnacentral:lncRNA from 1 species